UUUCUUCUUUAAACAGCUAUCAUCUCUGAUAUUUGGACCUCUCACACAAUCACACCUGCUAUAAAGGUUUCGCCCCAUCACUGAUGGCCACAAAGCUGGCAUUGUCCUUUGGAGAAUUCCGCAUGUAAGGGGUGCGGAUGGGGGAAAUGGAGGCUUUAUUGGCAAGAGGGGAGUCAGCACUUGCAAGAGGAAAGGGAGCCAGCUUUGAGCUCUUCAGCACCAGCCGCACGUGUUUCCUUCAACCCCAGGAGGAAGGUAUUAAAAGCUCCACCCUUACCCCUGAGAACGCUGUUUCUCUCAGAGGCAGAGCAACUUCCUCAAGGUCACACAGCACGUAAGUGACAAAGCCAGAGUGGAUGACAUCACAUUAAUUACUAACUACUUUAAUCGAAUGCAUUGAUCACUUGCUAGGGAACAGGCACCUCGUUAGGAGUCUUAGGGCCAUGCCUGAUUUCAAGUUUAUCUACAUAUUUUGCUUCCACUUCCAUCUAUUUGGAUGCUAUUCCCACUUCAUUACUCUCCCCAUUAGGCAGAUGAGGAGACUGAGACUCAGGGAGGAGAAGUAGCUUGCUUUGGGUCACUCAGCUCGGAAGCAGCAAAGCUAGGAUUCAAACUGAGGUAAUUCUGAUGCCUCCUGUUUUCAGAAAGUGGCUGAUGUCAAGAGAGUGAAAGUUGGAAAUGUUCUGCAUUAAAGGAGCUUAAGGAGACAUGACAAGCUGAUGCACAACUGAUGCCCGAGUGGAAACCGUCCUGAAAGGGGAGACGCCACCCAGGCGUGUUAUGGUCACUUGACAAAACAGAAUGUGAGCAGCCUUGGAGACAAGAGUCGUGUCGAAUUUGAACAUCUGUGGUGGGACCUCUGCUGCGAUUGUGUAAGGGAACGUCUUUGUCUGAGGUCUCUAGGGGUCAAGGGCCGUGUUCCCUGCACCUCCUUCAUGUGGUUUAGGGAAAGAAGUGUGUGUGUGUGCACACGUGUAUGAGCAUGUACAGAGACAGAAAGAGCCAAUGCGGUAAAAUGCUUAACAUUAAUCUAAUGGGUGCAUUUACUAUUCUGUAAGUUUGAAAUUAUCUUCAAAUAUAUAUAUAUAUAUAUAUUUUAAACAGGAAGAAGCAAUUGCUGGGUGUCAUAUAAUGAGCUGAUGGGUGUUUCCUGAGACUCACUCCAUGGACCUUCCACCUCUCUCCUGUCCCAGUGUGUCCCCUCUGUCUGAAACUCCAGCAUUGCUGAUCCAUUCCUGCAGGUCCGCCCGCCCCGGGUGGAAGUGCACAUACCCGGGACAGGUAUCCGUCCUUCAGAUCUUGAGGACACUGAGCUGUACUGCAAUGUCUCUAUUCAUUGCUAGCCAAGACUUGGGGGUGAGGAUUGUCACGUGCUUGUGGCACAGGGUGGUGCCAAGGACAAGAUGUCCUUGAGGGAACUGUCAAGUGGGCAAAUGACACAGUAUGAAAAACAGUGGGUUUGGAAAGGCACAGAGCCAGGAGCUGCCGGAGGAGGAAGAAGGAAAGAGCAGAACAGACCCAGCGACCACCCACCACCUCACCUGGCAUCUUGAGAGGGCUGAUCCAGGUUCCCUGGGACGGGGAGGAGUGCACUUCUUCUUACCCUCCCCUGCCAGGGCUUCAUUGUCUCUGGAAAGUGAAUACACAGCCACUUUGGUCCAGGGACUCCCCACCCAGUGUCACCCUGUACGUGUCUUUUGGGUCAACCUUGCCAGCUUUAGAUCUAACAAUAAUGACGAUAUUUUUCCACGUAAAGAAACUAAAACUUAAUCUUGCUUGUUAUUAAAGAAGUGGAACAAAAUGAAUAACUAUUUUACAUGAUUUACACAGUCUCCUGCCUUGCCACAUCGCCUGCAUCUUGGUGACCGUGGGGAGCUUGACAGCAGUGACGACACACCAGUGUCAUCAGGCAUCUCCUUCCCAGGGUGGUCUCCCACGGGCAGGUCACACUCCUCAAGUGGGGCUGUAGAAGGCUGGUCACUGUG
rnacentral:lncRNA from 1 species